UACGAGGGGGGCUAGCGUUGCUCGGAAUGACUGGGCGUAAAGGGCGCGUAGGCGGAUGGCACAGUCAGAUGUGAAAUUCCCGGGCUUAACCUGGGGGCUGCAUUUGAUACGUGUGAUCUAGAGUGAGGAAGAGGGUCGUGGAAUUCCCAGUGUAGAGGUGAAAUUCGUAGAUAUUGGGAAGAACACCGGUGGCGAAGGCGGCGACCUGGUCCUUGACUGACGCUGAGGCGCGAAAGCGUGGGGAGCGAACAGG
rnacentral:rRNA from 1 species